rnacentral:lncRNA from 1 species
AGAGUGAGAAACAGUGUCUUCUUCCUGGCUGGAGAGCCCGUGUCAUGAAAAUGGGGACAGGGUAAGGGAUCUGAAAGGAGCAGCAUAGAAGCUGGGAGGAUGAGGCCUGUCUUCCUGGCAUUGAUGCUGCAGGACUACAGGAAAGAAUUUCAGAGGUGUCAUUAUUUUUCAUAUAAGCAGAUGAAAGAGAAGAAGUCUUUGAAAAAAGAGAAGUAGGUGAAAAAGGGAGAGACGGAGGGAUGCCAGCAGUGAAAGAAGCCAGGACUGAGAUACAAGAUUGUGAUGCUGGGAGAGCUGUGCAAGGGCUCAUGCUGUAGGUGAGGAGUGAGGCUGCACAGGGAGCUCACUGGCAGCUUGGAGAGAACUGGGUGUCAAAGUUGUCCUGCAGAGGUCUACUGUCAGUGUGUUAGGAUCUGAAGAGAACAGGCUGCAACACAUGAAAACAGGAAGGAGACACAGGGGCGAGUCAGCUCCACUGAAAGUCUGUAGCUGUGACUUUCUGGUUUGCCACUCCAAUUUGAGUACUAAUUAAGUGGUAGUCACAUCUUCAACAUAAAAACCAAAAUAAUGGCAUCCUCGUGGAAGGAAUUUUGUCAGAAAAAUGCUGUGUACUUUGCUGUCUUCCUAGGAUUUGUUCUGUUUUUGUUUGUUUUUUUUUAAUGGUUCCACAGGCUGCAUAGGAAUACAAGCUAACCAAUAUUUUAAUUACAGAUCAUUAAGCAGCUUUGAGUCUGGAAAAUUUGUUGAAUGUACCGAGCAGUUAGAAUUGUUACCAGGAGAAAAUAUCAAUCUACUUGCUGGAGGAUCAAAAGAAAAAAUAGACAUGAAAAAACUGCUUCCUAACAUGUUAAGUCCGGAUCCGAGGGAACUUCAGAAAUCCAUUGAAGUUCAAUUGUUAAGAAGUUCUGUUUGUUUGGCAACUGCUUUAAACCCGAUAGAACAAGAUCAGAAGUGGCAGUCUAUAACUGAGUAAGUUUACUCUUACGGAGGUAAAUGUACAUUGUGUAUAUCAUGUGAUAAACAUACAUGGGGUGAAGAGGGCUGGAAGGAGAGUUACUAGAUUACUAAAUACUAGUGCUAAUAGCUUCAUUUUAGUUGUAGAAGUCAUAUGAUAUAUGAAUGCUGCUUGCCAACAUAAACUGAGGUUGAAAUGAAAUAAAAUGUAAAAAUCCCCAAAAGCAAAUGUCUUGACUUGCUAAUAUCAUUUUAUUAUAGAGCAGGCUGCUCCUCUUACUGCCCCCUAACUUUGGAUGUCAGUUUGAUAGCAUCUUAUCAAUUGCUUUAUUCUUUGAGUGGUUAUGAAUUGUAAUUUUUAUUAAUUGGCAGUAAAUAUUUUGUUUCAGAAAUGUGGUAAAGUACUUGAAGCAAACAUCCCGCAUCGCUAUUGGACCUCUGAGACUUUCUACUUUAACAGUUUCACAGUCUUUGCCAGUUCUAAGUACCUUGCAGCUGUAUUGCUCAUCUGCUUUGGAGAACACAGUUUCUAACAGACUUUCAACAGAGGUCUGUAUAUUUUUACAAGCACACUCUUAUGACUAUUAAUGGUCAUUACUGUAGAACAAAGACCUUAUUUUUUUAGUUUUUUGAAAUAGGAUUUGUAGCUGGGCAAGCUAGUAGAUCCAGAAAUCUAACAUGCUGUUUUCAGGCAGUUUUUCAUUUGAGAAGUACAUGGGGCAGAUGGAAGAACCUGAGAUAAUCUCAAGGAUGGCAAAUUGCUCAGUUUUUUCCUUCUAAUUUCGGGGUGGGAGGUGGUGUAUGUAAAGACAGUUCCUUUAGGCGGAUUACGUAAAUUUUAGAUUUGCUGCAAACAAAGAUCUCUCCUCUUCAUCCUAAAUGGGGUAAAGUUCAACCAGAGAUGGGGGCUUCUGAAUGAAUGAUGAUCUUCGAGAACUUCAUUAUAAAGCAUUAGUUGUAAUGUUUUUCUGCAGUCUGCUUUAUAGUAAAUGUGCUGUGACUUUUUUUUUUGUAAUGUGCUUUAUUAAGUAUACUGAUAAAUUAGACUUAAUAUUCUGAAGAAGAUUUCCCUUCAAAACAAAAGGCUUUCUCUUACUGUGUGCUUGCCUCUUGUGAGUAGAAGAUAAAUGAUGUAAGGGUAUAGUGUAAUAGAUAAAACUACUGCAAUCAAUCUGAAGUAGCCAAACUAUAUUGCAGUCUUGGACUUAAGACUUGCUAUAUAUCUGCAAACAUAUCAACAGCCUGUUUUAUGUUGAGUAAUUUUGGUUUUUCUCUGGCAGGACUGUCUUAUUCCACUCUUCAGUGAAGCUUUACGUUCAUGUAAACAGCAUGACGUGAGGCCAUGGAUGCAGGCAUUAAGGUAUACUAUGUACCAGAAUCAGUUGUUGGAGAAAAUUAAAGGUAAGUGGUUUUUUUUUCUUGUAAGAGAAAAUUAAAGGUGUUCUUUUUUUAAAUUUUGCUUUAUUGAGGUUUAUAUUACACAUUCUAAGUGUAUGGUUUGAUGAGUUCUAACAUGUCUUCACUUGUGUGACCACCAAUACGAUCGAGAUACAGAACACCGUCUUACCCCAGAAGGUUCCCUUGGGAUCAUCUCCUCAUUUGCCCCUGUCAGCAGUUACUGAUUUGCUUUCUGUCACUAUGGAUUAGACUUGUCUUUACUAAAGUUUCAUGUACGUGAAAUCAUAACAACAUGUUCUCUUGUGUUUGGCUUCUCUUGCUCAACAUGAUAUUUUUAAGGUUCACCCAUAUUGCAUGUAUCAGGAAUACAAUCCUUUUUAUUAUUGAGUAGAGUUCUAUUGUAUGUAUAUACCCCAGUUUAUUUCUCCCUUCAUCCUUUGCUAGAUUUUGGGGUUUUUUCACAUUGCGCUAUUCAGUAUAAACCUGCUCUCAACAUUCAUGUGCAAGUCUUUGAGUGGACGUAUAUUUGUGUUUCUCUCGAGUGAAUGCACCUUGUUGGGUCACGUAGCUUAACUUAAAAAAAUUUUAAUCACUGUGGUGCAUAUGUAGUGAUUAUUAGUGAUUAUCUCAUAAUUUUAUUUACAUUUUCUUGAUUAAUGAUGCUGAGUGUAUUUCAUUUGUAUUUUAGUUUGCAAAUGUUUGUUCAAAUUCUUCACCCAUUUUUAAUGAAGACAUAAGACUUAUUUUUGUGUUCUGAACCUAAGUUCUUUGUCACGUAAAAUGCGCUAUGAAUAUUGAGUUUUAAAUACUCCAAAUGAAUGGCUAGAGAAUUACUAUUUGUAUAAAUAUUUAUAUGUCAAAGGGAUGCUAACAAUUUACUUUAUUGCUCUAAAAUAGAAAAGUUGCCAGAAUGCUGUGCAGUUUUAGUGGAAAACAUGAUAGCUGGUGUUACUGAGUAAAUUUGAGUGUUAAAUGUCAAUGUAAGCUAACAGCCAAGAUAGGGACCACUGCAGAGUGGUUACUUGAAGCUGUGACUCAACUGGUCCUUCACUGCCAAAUAUACCUGGGGUUGGAUCAUUGGCCUGAUGUUUGCAAAUUGAGGAACCUUAGGGCAAAUCAGUGAACUUCUGAACUGCUUUCCUCUUCAGUUAUAUGGGGAUUUCCCCACUUUUGAGAUACUUGUAAGGAUUAUAUGAGAUGAAGAGAUGAGACAAGGUAUAUAAAAGUCCUAGCACAGAGCGUGUCAUAUAAUAUGGCUUCACAAGUACCCUCAUCUCCUUUCCAGUCCUGUUUUUUUUUUUUUUUGAGACCAUCUCACUCUGUUGCCCAGGCUGGAGUGCCUCUUCAUUUUUAUUUCUUUAUUCAGCAAGUAUUGAUCAAAUGUGCUUUGUACUAGGUACUGAGCUCUACGUUGUGAUAUAAUGGUGAUCAAGGAGAUUGUAGAUUCUGGCAGGGAAAACUGACAUCAAACACGGUGACCCAACAUAGCAAGACCCUGUCUCUGCUAGAAGAAUUUAAAAAAUCACCCGGGUGUGGGCUGGGCGCGGUGGCUCACGCCUGUAGUCCCAGCACUUUGAGAUGCUGACGGGGGGUGGAUCACGAGGUCAGGAGAUUGAGACCAUCCUGGAUAACACGGUGAAACCCCAUCUCUACUAAAAAUACAAAAAAAUUAGCUGGGCGUGGGGGCGGGUGCCUGUAGUCCCAGCUACUUGGGAGGCUGAGGCAGGAGAAUGGCAUGAACCAGGGAGGCGGAUCUUGCAUUGAGCCAAGAUCACGCCACUGCACUCCAGCCUGGGCAACAGAGUGAGACUCUAUUUCAAAAAAAAAAAAAAAAA